rnacentral:misc_RNA from 1 species
UCUCCGUUGGUGAACCAGCGCAGGGAUCAUUACUGAGUUACCGCUCUACAACCCUUUGUGAACAUACCUAACUGUUGCUUCGGCGGGCAGAGGUCCCUCGCGGAUCUCUCCCGGCAACGCCCUCACGGGCGGAGCGCCCGCCGGAGGAUACCAAACUCUAUUUUAACGACGUUUCUUCUGAGUGGCACAAGCAAAUAAUUAAAACUUUUAACAACGGAUCUCUUGGUUCUG